AUUGAACGCUGGCGGCAGGCCUAACACAUGCAAGUCGAGCGGAUGAAGGGAGCUUGCUCCUGGAUUCAGCGGCGGACGGGUGAGUAAUGCCUAGGAAUCUGCCUGGUAGUGGGGGAUAACGUCCGGAAACGGGCGCUAAUACCGCAUACGUCCUGAGGGAGAAAGUGGGGGAUCUUCGGACCUCACGCUAUCAGAUGAGCCUAGGUCGGAUUAGCUAGUUGGUGGGGUAAAGGCCUACCAAGGCGACGAUCCGUAACUGGUCUGAGAGGAUGAUCAGUCACACGGGAACUGAGACACGGUCCAGACUCAGACGGGAGGCAGCAGUGGGGAAUAUUGGACAAUGGGCGAAAGCUUGAUCAGGCCAUGCCGUGUGUGUGAAGAAGGUCUUCGGAUUGUAAAGCACUUUAAGUUGGAAGAAAGGGAAGUAAGUUAAUACAUUGCUGUUUAGACGUUACCAACAUAAUAAGCACGGGCUAACUUCGUG
rnacentral:rRNA from 1 species